rnacentral:rRNA from 1 species
GGUGAACGCUGGCGGCGUGCUUAAGACAUGCAAGUCGAACGGCAGUCUUCGGACUGUAGUGGCGCACGGGUGAGUAACGCGUAACUGACCUACCCCAAAGUCGCGGAUAACGAUUCGAAAGAAUCGCUAAUACGUGAUGUGCUGUCAGAUUGUGUUCUGCCAGUAAAGAUUGAUUGCUUUGGGAUGGGGUUGCGUUCCAUCAGCUAGUUGGUGGGGUAAAGGCCCACCAAGGCGACGACGGAUAGCCGGCCUGAGAGGGUGGCCGGCCACAGGGGCACUGAGACACGGGUCCCACUCCUACGGGAGGCAGCAGUUAAGAAUCUUCCACAAUGGGCGAAAGCCUGAUGGAGCGACGCCGCGUGAGGGAUGAAGGUCUUCGGAUCGUAAGCCUCUGAAUCAGGGACGAAAGACACUUCGGUGGGAUGACGGUACCUGAGUAAUAGCACCGGCUAACUCCGUGCCAGCCGCCGCCGUAAUAC